rnacentral:miRNA from 1 species
UUGAAGGAGUUCAUUGGUAUA